UAGGGAAUCUUCCACAAUGGACGAAAGUCUGAUGGAGCAACGCCGCGUGAGUGAAGAAGGUUUUCGGAUCGUAAAACUCUGUUGUAAGGGAAGAACACGUACGAGAGUAACUGCUCGUACCUUGACGGUACCUUAUUAGAAAGCCACGGCUAACUACGUGCCAGCAGCCGCGGUAUAACGUAGGGGACAAGCGUUAUCCGGAUUUACUGGGCGUAAAGCGCAUGUAGGUGGCGCGGAAAGUUGGACGUGAAAGCUCCCGGCUUAACUGGGAGAGGUCGUUCAAAACUGUCGUGCUUGAGGUUGGAAGAGGAGAGCGGAAUUCCCGGUGUAGUGGUGGAAUGCGUAGAUAUCGGGAGGAACACCAGUGGCGAAAGCGGCUCUCUGGUUCACACCUGACACUGAGAUGCGAAAGCGUGGGGAGCGA
rnacentral:rRNA from 1 species